GUAGAAAACACUAGAUGUCAAAGACCUGGGGUUUUUCUGUGCCGGGUCUAUGCAUGACAAUGGAUCACAGUCUUCUAAUCUACGAGUGGUCUUGCCCCUCAUGCACAUUCAGUAAUAAACCAGGGUCCUUCAAAUGCCAGGUCUGUGGUACCCCUAAAGGAACUGCUACAAGGCAAACGAAGUAUCACUCCUCGACAGUAGAACAGCAGUUUCUGGCUGAGACAAUGUCACAGCGGCUACAUGGGCUACAAACAGCACGAGCAGCGAACACAGCAAAAAAUCUAACUAAUGCUAGUAGCAAUAGCAGUGUCACAGAAGCAGAGGGUGACGCCAGUACAGCUAAUGACAGUUGUGGAACAUCAAGUAGAACGCAUCCAGUAAUGAGCAAGAAGAUCAAGAGUCAGAGCGGCCUAAAAGCUAACCGAGAGGAUUAUUUGUGGCCGAGACUCAAGAAUAUUAACAGAUCUUCAGGAAAGUCUUGUGAAAUAACUGUGGACAAUCUAUCCAUACUAAUUACCGAAUAUGACAUGCUCCACCCAGAUUCGGACUAAUUGAUCUCACAAUUAAAUCAGUUUUGAGCAGCAUCACUUAUUAAUUUUUGUAUGGAGAGUUUGAUUCGAGUUCAUUUGUUUGUGGGGCAUUGAAUUCGCAUGAUCACUUAUUAAUUUUUGUAUGGAGAGUUUGAUUCGAGUUCAUUUGUUUGUG